CACCGGCGGCUCGAGUGGUGGCCACUUUUAUUGGGUCUAAAACGUCCGUAGCCGGCUUGGCAAGUCCCCUGGGAAAUCUGGCGGCUUAACCGUCAGGCGUCCAGAGGAUACUGCCAGGCUUGGGACCGGGAGAGGUGAGAGGUACCUCAGGGGUAGGGGUGAAAUCUUGUGAUCCCUGAGGGACCACCAGUGGCGAAGGCGUCUCACUAGAACGGGUCCGACGGUGAGGGACGAAAGCCAGGGGCGCGAACCGG
rnacentral:rRNA from 1 species